GACGAACCGUGCGAACGUUGUUCGGAAUCACUGGGCUUAAAGGGCGCGUAGGCGGGUUCCCAAGUCCGGGGUGAAAUCUUUCGGCUCAACCGGAAAAUAGCCUUGGAUACUGGGAGUCUCGAGGGAGGUAGGGGCAGCGGGAACUUCCGGUGGAGCGGUGAAAUGCGUUGAUAUCGGAAGGAACGCCGGUGGCGAAAGCGCGCUGCUGGACCUCUGCUGACGAUGAGGCGCGAAAGCCAGGGGAGCAAACGGG
rnacentral:rRNA from 1 species